UCAACCCUUGGAAUAAUUUUUACCCUCCACACUGGUAUUCAUCGAUGAUAAACUCAAUAUUAUUACUGUAAACAGUAGGUCUGGGACGUACAAUUAUUCGACGUAAUACAAAAGUCGUUCUUUAUCAGACUGGCGUCUGUACAGGUGCAGAUCACAUUUGAAUAGGUGUAUAAUAAUAAGCGGGUAGAGCAUUUGAUUGUCAUACACAUAUCGGUACACGGAUUACGAUAUGUCUGGCGACAGGGACUAUAUCGGGUUCGCAACGCUACCCGAACAAGUUCAUCGGAAAUCUGUCAAAAGAGGGUUCGAAUUUACAUUGAUGGUCGUCGGCGAGACCGGGCUUGGAAAAUCAACGUUGAUAAACAGCCUGUUCCUAGGGGACCUAUACAAAGAUCGUCGCAUUCCUGACGCCCUAGAACGGGUCGAGAAGACUACGUCGGUUGAGAAAAAAACAAUGGACAUCGAGGAAAGGGGUGUUAGAUUGCGGCUAACGAUCGUCGAUACUCCAGGAUUUGGCGACUCCGUAAAUUGUGAUGACACAUGGAAAGCUUGUUCGGCGUACAUUGAUGAGCAAUUUCGUCAGUAUUUCACCGAUGAAAGUGGACUGAACAGAAAAAAUAUCCAGGACAACAGGGUUCAUUGUUGCCUAUACUUUAUUCCACCCUAUGGCCGUGGUUUGAGGCAGAUGGACUUGGAAGUUCUUCGACGACUGCAUCGCAAAGUAAAUGUAGUACCUGUAAUAGCCAAAGCAGAUACGCUCACAGCCCUUGAAGUAAAAAAUCUGAAGGAAAAAAUUCUGGCCGACAUCGACGAGCAUGAAAUCCAGAUCUACCAAUUUCCGGAUUGUGACAGUGACGAAGAUGAGGAUUUCAAGCAACAGGACAAAGAACUGAAGGCCUGCGUUCCUUUUGCUGUGAUCGGAAGUUCCACAGUUUUAGAAGUUGCUGGACGUAAAGUACGUGGCCGACAAUAUCCUUGGGGUGUAGUAGAAGUGGAAAAUCCGAAACAUAGCGAUUUUGUGAAGCUUCGAACGAUGCUUAUUUCAACUCAUAUGCAGGAUUUGAAAGACGUGACACAAGAUGUACACUAUGAAAAUUUCCGGGCUCAGUGCAUUUCGCAAAUUUCCCAACAGGCGAUACGGGAACGGAGUAAACUAAAGAGGGAUUCUGGGCCGCACUUCGAGCACAGUAUAUCCGAUACGGACAGGCUGCUUUUACAAAAGGAUGAAGAGAUACGUCGGAUGCAAGACAUUCUCGCCCAGAUGCAAGAAAAAUUGAAGGCGACUGGUCAAGGCAGUGGAAUUGCAAUGCGCGGUCGAGUAGGAAGUCUAGGCAACGACUUAGACGUUGCGGAUGCUGAUAAAAAGCGGAACAGUAUUAUAGACGUUUAAAUACAAGGAUCACCAGACGCCGUAUUUGCCCCUGAAUUCGGCCUGUACUGUCCCUGUGUGAAAUAAGGCGAUCCUGGUCUCUGUUCUCUAUGGGAAGGUGGUCGCCCCACGUAAACCCCGGUUCUUCCAUCAUCAUUUCCGCUGUUGAUGUCAUGCCUCUGUGGAAAAAAAAUUUAGCUGUAAUCAUGCGAAUAGUGCGAAUGAGAGUUUAAGACGAAGAUGGCUGAUCAACAACGAUUCGGCGAAAUAAUUAUGAUCACACGGCGAGUGAAAAUUACAUAUAAUGACAGAGCUACAGUGCACAUUUUUUAAAUGCUUCGUUUAGACGUCUUCUGCAACAUAAUAUAAGAUACAACGUGACAUUCGAAAACAUUUAGAUAAAUCGUAGUUAAAAACAACUGCAGUUAAAUUUGGAUAAUCUAACAAUGCAAUUGCGACGUCGCAAAAUGAUUAAACGGCAUACGACAAGUAAAUAUUCGGCGUUGUAAAUUUCAACAUUGCAUUCUGCAAUUCGCAGCAUGCAGAAGCUUAUUUCAACACACGUACACGUAUCUUCAUACAUAAUAAGUACACAUGAUGUAAUAUAACAAAUCAUAAUUUGUGCGCAUAGAGCGAAAAAGUAGAAUUAAUUACAGAUAUAAUUUUGAUGGGUAAUCAAGAUUCAACGUGAUCAAUAUGUAUAUGCAUACAUACAUUUACAGUUUCAAUAUAUCGUGACCGGAAAUGUGAAACGAAGUCCCGAUCAGUUAUAGUAUAUCGAAUCUGCCCUCAUUUCUGCAGAGUAUUAUGGUAUAGUCGUAUAGAGGGUAGAUACAUCUUCUUUCAUACGUUGAUUUAAUUUCCCAACGGGUUUCACCUCGAAUUUCUCGAAUGCCGAGGGAUCUUCAAGCAAUAAUUUCUCAUCCCCCGCAUGAUCUAAAUUCCCCGAAGGACGAUGUACGU
rnacentral:misc_RNA from 1 species